rnacentral:rRNA from 1 species
UACGGGGGGGGGCAAGCGUUUGUUCGGAAUUACUGGGCGUAAAGGGCUCGUAGGCGGCCAACUAAGUCAGACGUGAAAUCCCUCGGCUUAACCGGGGAACUGCGUCUGAUACUGGAUGGCUUGAGUUUGGGAGAGGGAUGCGGAAUUCCAGGUGUAGCGGUGAAAUGCGUAGAUAUCUGGAGGAACACCGGUGGCGAAGGCGGCAUCCUGGACCAACACUGACGCUGAGUGAGCGAA